AGGAAUGACAAAAAAGUAGUUGGGCAUGCUGUUUGACAAAUGACUAACAGACAGUCAAACAAAAAGAUGGAGAUAAUGAAUGUGCAUGAGUUCGACACACAGACUUGAGUUCUGACAAACUACAUGGUGGAAAAAGGAGGCAUCAUUUUCUAUAGAAAAACCUACAGUGUAGAUAUUGAAAAUAGCACUGGAAAAAAAAUAUGAGCAAUGCUGUUCUGAGUCAGAGCCAUUCUUAAUAUAAACAUUAUCAGCAUAGUCCUAUGCACUUCAGAGAACUUCGGCAGGGAUUCAUAAUGGAUGAAUACAAUCCCACAGAACUGUCUGCAAACAAGGAUUAUAUGACCUCAUAAUGCUGAAAAACUUUAGGGAAGAAGAUUGACUGCAAAGAGACCAUGAGGGCUCUGUUUUAUUGCAUGAACACAACAAACCUCACAAUUUGUUCUAGGCAGACCUCAGAAGUCCUUGCGCUAAACAGGUUCUUGCUGGAGUGGGCAGAACAGUGCAGAAUCUCCCCUGAUACAGAAGUAACAGCACAGAGCGAGGAGAGGAAGGGGACAAGGUAUGACCGAAGCUCCUUUGCUAAUGGGCACCCUGUAAAUCCUCACUACUGCGAACAAUUUCAGUAAGCUGUUGCUCUCAACCAAAACCUAAACAUUUUUUUUCUUCUACUUUUUGGUUCUGUUUUAAUUAAAGUUCAAUAAUAGCAUCAUAUACAGACUUGGGAUUAGUUAUAGUUUGGAACAAAUUCUGUGUUUUUGAGCAGGUUUCCAGGCAGCGUUUAGGUCCAGUGUGAUUCACUGUAGUUCUGUAUUUAAUGGGAAAUGUAUGUCUCCUUUGAAAAUUUCCACUGAGUUUUCAGUUUGACUUUGCAUACAAUUUGGGGUACUGGUAAUAACUAAAACAACCCUUACCCUCUAAAACAACAAUCCCUGGUCUGGAAUGCUGCUGAUACUCGGUGAAUUUAUUCUUUUGCCAUGCCGCAUUUUGAGGAACUAAAACUGUCUUGCAAUAUCAUGCCAUCUGUAUCUGAAAUUUAACUUCAGAAUUACCAGUAGGGCAACUAAUGGAUAUCUCUUCUUUUUGAAACUCAAAAAGGGUUUGUCAAAACAUAGCACAUGCAUUAGAUUGUAAAUAGUAAAUUUACAUUUGCUAGUAACCCUUGUGAAAAUGGAAUAAAAAAAGGUCUGAAUGAAGCA
rnacentral:lncRNA from 1 species